ensembl:lncRNA
CAGGGGAUACAGCCUUAUGGUGCUACUAGAGGUACAGGAUCUACAGGGGAAACAGCCUUAUGGUGCUACUAGAGGUACAGGGGAAACAGCCUUAUGGUGCUACUAGAGGUACAGGGGAAACAGCCUUAUGGUGCUACUAGAGGUACAGGAUCUACAUGGGGAACAGCCUUAUGGUGCUACUAGAGGUACAGGGGAAACAGCCUUAUGAUGCUACUAGAGGUACAGGGGAAACAGCCUUAUGGUGCUACUAGAGGUACAGGGGAAACAGCCUUAUGGUGCUACUAGAGGUACAGGAUCUACAGGGGAAACAACCUUUAUGGCC